AGAAAAAUAAAAUAAUGAAGACGCUAAAGAAAAGGGAGGCGAAGUAGAACUUACCCCGACCAUGGUUGGGUAAAACGAAGACAGCAUCUCGGUCACUUGUCGAGACCUCAGCACCUCCACGUCAGCUGGGAGGAGGAUCCCCUAGCACAGCCUCCUGGCCAGGUUGUGGUCGGCCAGCGCCGACGCACCUUCGGGGAAC
rnacentral:lncRNA from 1 species